GGGGUUGUAGCUCAGUGGUAGAGUGCUUGCCUAGCAGGUGUGAGGCACUGAGUUUGAUCCUCAGCACCACA
rnacentral:tRNA from 1 species